UCCAGUUGAUCUUUGUGGAGUGGGGUGUUUUGGCAACGUUGUCAACUUGGCGAAGCUGAACUGUUUUCCAGAAUUCCCUUCCCUAUUCAUUUCUGGUUAGGUAGGGGGUGGCCACAAGAGAAAUUUGCACGAAUUUGGAAGAGGACGGAAAGCCAUAGCCGUGCUUACUCGCUGAAGGUCGCCGGACGCCGUGCCCUGUUGCACCUCGUGCACGUUUUUGCAGACCCGCUGCACCUUUGGUGGGCGCAGCGGCCGGGCUCUCGGCUCCUCCGGCCCCCACAGAACUCUGCCUCCGGUUCUUCCAGAUCGGGGGUCAGGUAUGAAUCUAGCUUCUCCUUCAGGUCACCUGCAGCAGGAGGACGAAGGCUUAGAGAGGCCAGCGCGGGUCCGGCCAGCAAGAGGCAGAUGCGGGUUCCCGCGAGUGGCUUGCAGGCUCCAGCUGUCCCGGCGCUCCCAGACUGCACUGCCGCCUUCUUUCCGGACCACCCGCCCAGGGACUUCAGGUGAACAAGCAGCAGCUGAACUGGGGCUCUCUUACCAGCAUCUGUGAUUCAGUGCUGCAGAUGCGGAAGAGUAAUAUUCAGAGAAAAGCACCUCGACAAAUUUUACUAGACCUAAAACAUUUCUGCCUCGCGUCCGAGGACAAAACCAGAUGGGAUAUAAAAGAAAACGCCAGUGAAGGCUUUGAGGGUAAAGAGUUGCUGUCGUCUGGCCCCAUAAGGUCCAGUGAAAACCCAAUCCACAAGGCAUAUCCCUGUCCUCACCUGUAAGCUUCGUCU